rnacentral:rRNA from 1 species
AGCAGCCGCGGUAAUUCCAGCUCCAAUAGCGUAUAUUAAAGUUGUUGCAGUUAAAAAGCUCGUAGUUGAAUUUCGAGAUCAAAUUGUUGGUCGUGCCUCGGUACGUACUGGCAAUUUUGGUUUCUCCCUUCUGAAGAACCAUGAUGUCAUUAAUUUGGUGUCAUGGGGAAUCAGGACUGUUACUUUGAAAAAUUAGAGUGUUUAAAGCAGGCUCGCGCUUGAAUACAUUAGCAUGGAAUAAUGAAAUAGGACGUUUGAUUCUAUUUUGUUGGUUUCUAGGAUCGACGUAAUGAUUAAUAGGGAUAGUUAGGGGCAUUAGUAUUCAAUUGUCAGAGGUGAAAUUCUUGGAUUUAUUGAAGACAAACUACUGCGAAAGCAUUUGCCAAGGAUGUUUUCAUUAAUCAAGAACGAAAGUUAGGGGAUCGAAGACGAUCAGAUACCGUCGUAGUCUUAACCAUAAACUAAUGCCGACUAGGGAUCGGAUGA